GAUGAACGCUGGCGGCGUGCCUAAUACAUGCAAGUCGAGCGAACAGAUGAGGAGCUUGCUCCUCUGACGUUAGCGGCGGACGGGUGAGUAACACGUGGAUAACCUACCUAUAAGACUGGGAUAACUUCGGGAAACCGGAGCUAAUACCGGAUAAUAUAUUGAACCGCAUGGUUCAAUAGUGAAAGACGGUUUUGCUGUCACUUAUAGAUGGAUCCGCGCCGCAUUAGCUAGUUGGUAAGGUAACGGCUUACCAAGGCAACGAUGCGUAGCCGAGCUGAGAGGGUGAUCGGCCACACUGGAACUGAGACACGGUCCAGACUCCUACGGGAGGCAGCAGUAGGGAAUCUUCCGCAAUGGGCGAAAGCCUGACGGAGCAACGCCGCGUGAGUGAUGAAGGUCUUCGGAUCGUAAAACUCUGUUAUUAGGGAAGAACAAAUGUGUAAGUAACUAUGCACGUCUUGACGGUACCUAAUCAGAAAGCCACGGCUAACUACGUG
rnacentral:rRNA from 1 species